CUGAUAGAGCUGUGCACUGCGGGCAUCCUGCAGCGGGUCUGCCCGUAUGCAUACCUGGUGCUUGGAAGAAAGGAAAGACCUUUUCGAGGGGAUUAAUGAUAAUUAGGAAAGGAGAUGAGCCUGCGCAUGUGGUGUUCAUAACAACUGGGGAAGUGUCAGUCUUUCUGUCCAAAGGGGAAGGGGGAAAAUGGUGACUUGGUUUUCCUGAGCUGACCUCAGUUUAUGCCACUGGUUUUUACAGCCCCAGAAGAAAGAAAUCAACUUCCUAAUCUGAGCUGUAGCAGUUUAUACAUUUAAAUCUGGCAGCCAGGGCUCAGCUCCCCGCGUUGCCUGCGAUAGCAGCAGCAACACUGGCUCAGCGGAGGUGGUGAUGUCCUGGCGUGGUGAAGAGAUCUCAACAGAGCAACAUCUAUGUUCAGCUCAUGCUGCCUCCCUGGAAGACUGGAAGACUUUUGAGGAGCAUCCCUGGACCAGAUGUGGAACUCCUGGCCCCAAAUCCUGAUGACAUUUUGCUCAUCUGGUGGUUUCUGCCCGUGACUGCCACGUCCUCACUACAACAUUCAGCAUGGAGUAUCCCACUGUCGCCAGAUGCUGCGGGAAUCUCACUGCCCCAGCGGGCAGGAGGGCUCAGCCUGGAGUGGGAGGUGAGGAGAGGAACCUGUUAGCAGGGUGCCUUCAAGGAGAGGGAGGCAGUUGGUAGCCAGCCUGCCUUCAUCCUUGAUGUGCUUAGCCCCAGGUAAAUCUGAAAAGCCACAAACCACAACAAAAUUAACUUUUCUGCUUUUCAAAAAUGUAAAAACUCAGUGUGAUGGAAUAAUUAAUGCAGCUGAUUAAAGGCAAAGAUUACACAUUAACAAAGGAAGAUAAGCAUUUAAUUUCCAACCUUAUUGCAUUUCAGACUUGAAUAUUGGUUCCAAAGGUAGCUGCAGACUU
rnacentral:lncRNA from 1 species